rnacentral:tRNA from 1 species
AAAUAUGAAACAAUUAAUUGUAAUUAGUUUCGACCUAAUAGUUUGAUAAUAAAUUAUCCAUAUUUU